rnacentral:rRNA from 1 species
CCUACGGGAGGCAGCAGUGGGGAAUAUUGGGCAAUGGAGGAAACUCUGACCCAGCAACGCCGCGUGAAUGAUGAAGGUCUUCGGAUUGUAAAGUUCUUUUCUAAGGGAAGAAGAAAGUGACGGUACCUUAGGAAAAAGCCGAGGCUAACUACGUGCCAGCAGCCGCGGUAAUACGUAGGAGGCGAGCGUUAACCGGAAUGACUGGGCGUAAAGGGUGCGUAGGUGGUUUGGCAAGUUAGUAGCGUAACUCCAAGGCUCAACCUUGGAACUACUACUAAAACUGUUGGACUUGAGUGCAGGAGGGGCAACCGGAAUUCCUAGUGUAGCGGUGGAAUGCGUAGAUAUUAGGAGGAACACCAGUGGCGAAGGCGAGUUGCUGGACUGUAACUGACACUGAGGCACGAAAGCGUGGGGAGCAAACAGGAUUAGAUACCCGAGUAGUC